rnacentral:rRNA from 1 species
CUACGGGGGGCACCAGCUGAGAAUUUUCUGCAAUGUACGAAAGUAUGACAGAGCGAGCCAAAGUGCUCCACCACAUUGGUGAAGCUUUUAUAAGAUGUAAAAAGUCUUAUGAAUAAGGACCGGGCAAGACUGGUGCCAGCCGCCGCUGGUAAUACCAGCGGUCCAAGUCGCAAUCACAUUUAUUUGGUCUAAAACAUCCGUAGCUUGUUAUGUAAGUCUCUUGUGAAAUCCUAUCUCUUAAAGAUAGAAGUGCAAGAGAUACUGCAUAGCUAGGGACCGGGAGAGGUAAGGAGUACGGUUAGGGUAGCGGUUAAAUGCGUUGAUCCUAUCUGGACUAACAAUAGCGAAGGCACCUUACUAGAACGGAUCCGACAGUCAGGGAUGAAGGCUAGGGGCGCAAAACGGAUUAGAUACCCGGGUAGUC